GAUUUCUUAGUGUAGUGGUUAUCACGUCAGUCUUACACACUGAAGGUCCCGAGUUCAAUCCUCGGAGAAAUCA
rfam:Tetrahymena thermophila SB210 genomic scaffold scf_8254592, whole genome shotgun sequence.